GGUAAAAUGAUCUUCCUAAUCACAUUUGCCAAUGAGAUGUUUAAUAUAUUCUACAGUAAUACACCCGUAUUCCGGAGACUAUACAGUAGAUGACAUUUCAACUGAUUAUAAUAGCUUUGCUUGGCUGUUCUAGAUUGCCAGAAGCAUCAUGGCAUGGGUUUCCAAAGCCGAGGAGCUGCAUGCAAGCCUUACAUCAUCUAGCACAAAGCCAGGCCAAGCAUGGAAUGAUGAAGUUCUCAGUUAGAGGACCAGGAUGACCUGAUGCUUUGAAAGGUUUUAGCUGGAGCUAGGAAUAACUAGUUUUAUGGACUCCACAUAAACUUUAAUGGGAAGAGAGGCUGAAACCCUUGUCUCUACUUUACACUAAACUUACAAAAACUUCCUGUUCCUCUGAUGAAGAAAGGCUGGACCAGAACAAGGUUCCAAGUAGUGUGCAUGUCUGUGCUACCCCCCACUGCUCACAGCCAUACGGUAUAAAACAGUCUAAAAUAUUCAUAACUUUAUAUUAUGAAAGUC